GUGGUGCUUGCAGCAUUGGCUGUGUACCUAUGUCUGAACCGGAGCAAACAGAGCUGGAAUGGUAAAGGGGAGACUGUUGUUUCCAGAUCACGCUCACCACUACAUUCUCACAAGAUCUUCUCACCAGUGAAGGGUAAACAGUUAUCAUAA